UGCAAGUCGAGCGGACAGAAGGGAGCUUGCUCCCGGAUGUUAGCGGCGGACGGGUGAGUAACACGUGGGUAACCUGCCUGUAAGACUGGGAUAACUCCGGGAAACCGGAGCUAAUACCGGAUAGUUCCUUGAACCGCAUGGUUCAAGGAUGAAAGACGGUUUCGGCUGUCACUUACAGAUGGACCCGCGGCGCAUUAGCUAGUUGGUGGGGUAAUGGCUCACCAAGGCGACGAUGCGUAGCCGACCUGAGAGGGUGAUCGGCCACACUGGGACUGAGACACGGCCCAGACUCCUACGGGAGGCAGCAGUAGGGAAUCUUCCGCAAUGGACGAAAGUCUGACGGAGCAACGCCGCGUGAGUGAUGAAGGUUUUCGGAUCGUAAAGCUCUGUUGUUAGGGAAGAACAAGUGCGAGAGUAACUGCUCGCACCUUGACGGUACCUAACCAGAAAGCCACGGCUAACUACGUGCCAGCAGCCGCGGUAAUACGUAGGUGGCAAGCGUUGUCCGGAAUUAUUGGGCGUAAAGGGCUCGCAGGCGGUUUCUUAAGUCUGAUGUGAAAGCCCCCGGCUCAACCGGGGAGGGUCAUUGGAAACUGGGAAACUUGAGUGCAGAAGAGGAGAGUGGAAUUCCACGUGUAGCGGUGAAAUGCGUAGAGAUGUGGAGGAACACCAGUGGCGAAGGCGACUCUCUGGUCUGUAACUGACGCUGAGGAGCGAAAGCGUGGGGAGCGAACAGGAUUAGAUACCCUGGUAGUCCACGCCGUAAACGAUGAGUGCUAAGUGUUUAGGGGGUUUCCGCCCCUUAGUGCUGCAGCUAACGCAUUAAGCACUCCGCCUGGGGGAGUACGGUCGCAAGACUGAAACUCAAAGGAAUUGACGGGGGCCCGCACAAGCGGUGGAGCAUGUGGUUUAAUUCGAAGCAACGCGAAGAACCUUACCAGGUCUUGACAUCCUCUGACAACCCUAGAGAUAGGGCUUUCCCUUCGGGGACAGAGUGACAGGUGGUGCAUGGUUGUCCUCAGCUCCUGUCCUGAGAUGUUGGGUUAAUUCCCCAACCAGCGCAACCCUUGAUCUUAAUUGCCACCAUUUAUUUGGGCACCCUAAGGUGACUGCCGGUGACAAACCGGAGGAAGGUGGGGA
rnacentral:rRNA from 1 species